rnacentral:sRNA from 1 species
UAUUCUGUCCCACGGGGAAGGAUGAGAAGCUUCGAAUAAGGUUCGACUCGAGCGAAGCGAGAGAACGUUGCCGCAGGCAACGGCCCGAAGGCGAAGCGCUUUAGCGCCGAGUAAUCCUUCCCCCACCACUG